rnacentral:pre_miRNA from 1 species
AGCUGAAUCGCCGGGCAAAUCUUCCUUGGCAGGGGGCUUACCAUUUUGCUUCAAUGAGCUUAAUUUCUUGCAGCUAAAAAUCUCCUGCCAGAGGAGUAUUGCCCAGCAAUGCACUU